AAAAUACAGAAAGAUUGACAGAACGGCAGUGCACCGUGGAGCCUCAAUAAUGCGUGAAACUUGUUUCAGUCUGAAGCACAAGAUGAGCAAUGUGCUGCUGAGCCCCUCCUUUCAGACCUUUCUGGAGUUGGAAACAGAAACAUGAAGGAAGCAUUCUGAAGUAUUGGAGUAACCUGGCUUGGUGAAUUAAGUACAUAAGAUCCAUACUAUCUUGAUUCUGAAAGGAGUCCCUUGCUUCAGUUCUCAUUCAAAACACUGAAGCAUUGUCUUGAGAACAACUGGAACAUUUCAUUCCUGGCAUCUGUGAAUAAAGCUCCAGAUCACCCAAAACCUCAUAGACUUGCAUAAAAUAAGUGAUGACAGAGGGAAGAGGCUGAGAAUUCAGGUGGAAAGAAGGAAGGCAGUUCUUGAGAGUGAGAGAUAUGGUUCUGUGGCCAUUGUGGAAAACAAAACAAAACAAAAAACGGGGAGAAGAUAAAACCUCCCUUUGAUCUCUGUUCCGCUCAUUUUAAUGCAUCUUCAUAUUAAAGCAAUGACAUCUCAUUUUCAACAGAAGACUUCUGAAAUGGAUCUCCUAAAAAGACGUCAGCAAACAGGCAAAUGAACAUAGAACACGUACCUAAGCUAUUGGAUGUUUCUAAAAGUUUUUAAUUGAAAUAACCAUGCACAGCGAAUGGGUUGUGUAAGAUAAAAAGAAAAAGGGAAGAAGAAAGGAAGGAACUGGAAAACCGCACAUAAAUGAGGCACUGGCUCCCUGUCAUGUUAUCAGUUUUCACCAUAGUGCUGGUCUGGUCUUGUCUGGAGCUCUUGUGAAGGACAUCAGGAACAUGAAAUACAGCCUCCCCGCAUGGCCUUUCCCAAAGGCAUAAGAAAUGAAUGUUUUCUGUGGAACCAGAAUGCAGUAU